rnacentral:tRNA from 1 species
GGAGGCGUCUGGGCGCCUGGUGGCCCCCCUGAUCUUCAAAAUCAGAGUGGUCGGGUAUCCCGGCCAGGCGGGUUCGAUUCCCGUCCGCCUCCGCCA